CUCAACUGCUAUCUUCAUUCUUCUUUGCCUCUUCUCUCUCAAAUAGCUCACUUUCUUCAAGGAAAUGGCAUCAGGAUCCAAUUCCAGUGAAGAUGAGGAAGAUGGUGUAAGAAGGGCUAGAAAUCUCACGAGAGCCACUGAGGGAGAAGUCUACCCGAACAUCGACAAUGAAAGCAACCUUACAAUCGCACAACGAUUACAAGGCAUGUGGCUAGUCUAGCUUCGCGAGCGUAAUGACUCUCAAAAGAUGGAGAAGAUUCCAGUGAUGGAAUGGCAUGACGCGGACCAAUGCUACAAGAUCGAUGGUGUCCUCUCCCAUAUGCCUAUGAGAAGCCUCCUUUUGUUAGUUUCACUCCCCUAUGCUACAAGAUCGAUGGUGUCCUCCUUUUGGG